GCACUUGAAUCUUUCCCAUGCCUGCUGCCUGGUGCUGGUCUGGGGACAGACAGUGCUACACUAUGAGCAGAGAAUAUCCAGACGGGCUGCUUUCCAUUUGUCUUGGGGCCUGUCUCUACAGCUCUGCCACAUUU
rnacentral:snoRNA from 1 species